CACGUAGGGUGCGAGCGUUGUCCGGAAUUAUUGGGCGUAAAGAGCUCGUAGGCGGUCUGUUGCGUCGGCUGUGAAAACCCGGGGCUCAACUCCGGGCCUGCAGCCGAUACGGGCAGACUAGAGGUAUGCAGGGGAGAACGGAAUUCCUGGUGUAGCGGUGAAAUGCGCAGAUAUCAGGAGGAACACCGGUGGCGAAGGCGGUUCUCUGGGCAUUACCUGACGCUGAGGAGCGAAAGUGUGGGGAGCGAACAGG
rnacentral:rRNA from 1 species